AGACCUUUAAACGGUUCAAAGUAACGGAUUCAUAAAGAAUUCGAUAGUAUAUGAAAGCGAUGGAAAUCGCUAAGUUAACUAAACUAGUAGAAGUAACGGAAUUACGUUAUUUCGAAGUUACACUAUGUCGUAUGAGAUAUGAAGACAAUUAGUAACUAAAAGAUGUUACCGUACUUUUCGGGUAAUACUAACGAUUGGUUAAGAAGUAUAGGUAAUGUUUAAAAGACCUCUCGGCUCAAAUACAUUGAGUUUAAACUCAAUGAAUUAUGUAAGAAAAGGUUUCGAGGACGAAACCUCUUUAAGGGGGGUAGACUUGUAACACCCCGAAAACGGGUUUGGUAAUCAAACCACGUUUAUAUUAAAAGACGGGUAAUUUACCUUUAGUGGUAAAAGUAACCCGGUGAAUAUUGGGAUUAUUAAACAAACAAGAAUUUACUAACUAGGAAUUUUAACCUAGUUAGCUAAUAGUCUAGAGAUAACUUAUAAUAGGGCUAGAAACAACCAAACUUUAAGUUAUUCAAGAGUGGAGGGGCUUAUCUUGUAAAAUCUGAAACUUCAUUAGAUAAAAAAAAAUAAUUAAGGACCAAACACACAAAAGUGUGUCUGGUCGUAUAUGGGACGCAGGGGGGCGACCAGGAGACCUCACCAAGCCCUAGUUCAUCACUUAAUUCACAAAAUUGAAGGUCCAAAUCUGAUCAAAGUCGAAAAUCAAGAAUAGAUUAUUGAUCCCCAUUGAAAGGGGAGUCAUAAGUUUGACUCUGACAAGCUAGGUAGGAGCUUGGAAAUGAACGGGUCAAAUGGAUACAAGUUCAAGUAUGAAGCUCACAAGGAUGCAAGGUAAGUAUAACUUACACUAGUCAUAUAUUUUAAAAUGUUCUUUUGUCAUAUUGACUACGAAUAAGACAAAUGGUAAUUUAGUCACACGUUGACAAUAAUCGUUAGUUUUAAAAGACGCUUUCCCGCGAAAGACAUAAAGAGCCGAAAGUGGUAAUAAACGGGUUAUAAAUAAAAUGAGCAUACGGUGUUAAAAGGAGCGAGUCAUGUAGAUGAGAUAAUAAUAAAUAUUAUCUCGCAAGGAUAAACGGUCAAUUCGGCCAAACGGGUCAAAAGGUGUAGACAUCACCUUUUGACAAUAUCGACUAAUGAUUCUGGUGUCGAGUUAUAUGUUUACAGGAAUAGAUAUCCAAUGGAUACUCGCAUCGCUCUUAAUUAGCAAUUAUAAAGCAAGGUAUUAAACCGGGUUAGUAAGUUGAUCCGAGCCAGGUAUGUAUAAUAGAUUAACUCAUCAUGUAGAACUUGAAGUUCUAUGAAAGUUAGGCAAAAUAAAAAAAAAAAAAAAAAAGAGAAGAGCAUUCGGUUACCUUAAUAGGUAAACCGAAGGAUUUAAAUUAUUUAGACAGAAUGUUUUGAAAACAAUAUUUGGUUAAAAAUGAGAAAUUAGAAUCAAACAACAGGUUUGUUGAUAAAAUCACGAACGGGUCAAAUUUGGUAAAAAGGGUUAAUAAGCCGAAGACUUAAAAGUCUUAAACUUUUGUUAAUCCAGAUGUUGGGUCUUGACUCCAUUUGAUGGAGGUUUAAAUUAUAAACAUGUAGGAAGAAACGGUAGGUCAAACGGAUAAGCGGUUUGAAAGAUACGAAAGAUUUCGUGUCAAAUUACGGCAAAAUGGAAAGGCUGAACCCAGUGUCCACCGUAAAUUACGGUCCCACCGUAAUUUACGGUGGAGAUGAUUUGUUUACGGUGAAGGUCUACUGUUUUACGGUAGAAAAGCUUGAACCCAGGUGCCACCGUAAAUUACGGUCCCACCGUAAUUUACGGUGGAGAUAUUUUUUUUAUAUAUAUAUUUUUUUGUUUUUCAUUUGAAAAUCAAUUGUUUCCCGGACAUCGUUCGGACAUGAUUUAAACCCAGUAUGACUAAAGCAUUUCAUGUUUAUGAAAUGUAGGUACACCUUAGAUGCCGGAAGACGAUCAAGCUCAGCGAAGAACCGAACACGAUAAUGAUACACGCUUCCGCAUUUUGCUACGUUGAAAUUUUUAAACAACGAAUUCGAUCACGUUAUGUAGAAUAACUUAUGAUUUAUUAAAAGUUUUAAUAAACCUGUA